GAUGAAGAACGUAGCGAAAUGCGAUAAGUAAUGUGAAUUGCAGAAUUCAGUGAAUCAUCGAAUCUUUGAACGCACAUUGCGCCCCCUGGUAUUCCGGGGGGCAUGCCUGUUCGAGCGUCAUUUCACCACUCAAGCCUCGCUUGGUAUUGGGCGACGCGGUCCGCCGCGCGCCUCAAAUCGACCGGCUGGGUCUUUCGUCCCCUCAGCGUUGUGGAAACUAUUCGCUAAAGGGUGCCGCGGGAGGCCACGCCGUAAAACAACCCCAUUUCUAAGGUUGACCUCGGAUCAGGUAGGGAUACCCGCUGAACUUAAGCAUAUCAAAAGCGGAGGA
rnacentral:misc_RNA from 1 species